AUUGUUUCUUGAAUGGUAAAGAAAGGAGUGGAACCACAGUUGGAAACUCAGGUAUGGAUAUAUGAAAGUACCCCUGAUACCACCACCAUAAUCAAGGAAUGCAUUAGAAGAGAGACCAGGAUAGUGAAAGAAUAUCAUAUGAAGAAACAUUUUCAAGUCAAGAGGCUACCUACCUAGACAAGAGAAGACCUGACAAAUAUGUAAGAAGCUGCAGAGAAGGAUAUAAAUAGAAACCAGAUGAAACACUGGAACUGGACGUUGUAGAAGAUGAAUUAUGAGAGUGAUUUAUGAAAGAAAGACAAUGGAGAAUUACAAUCGAUGGAGCCAUUCAAAGAAAAGACUUUGGCACUGCAUCAAAAGACAGUAGAAUAAGUACCCUUUGCUUAUACAUUUUAAAUGAAAAUAAAUGUUUAUAAUACAUAGUUGCUGUUUUUUAAACUGUAAUUCAUUUACUAAGGCUGAAGGGAAGAAUGGAUGUUGGAUAAAGAACUUUCAAUUCUGUCAUUGUUAGUAGUAUUUGUGUGUGUGUGUGUGUGUGUGUGUGUGUGUGUGAGAAUGUUGAGCUUCUCAGUUUCAGUAGUUAGCAGGAAAAAGCACUGAAUCAUGAAGCAUAAACUAUGAAUAUAGCAUCUGUAUGAUAUUCUCUUAAAAAAUGGCAAAACUCUAGCAAACUGUCUUUGGUGCUUGCUUUUUUAGAAUGAUUGGCAUGGGAUCUGAGUCUUAGUUUCACCUUUUAUGAUUGCUUUUUACUGCAUCAAAUAUUUGACCAGGCAAAGUACAUUUCAAUGAACAGCUUUACUCCCCUUUAAAAGAAACUGAAAGUCCAGCUGAAACUCCUUAUCAAGUUAACUGGGAUCAUGGUGUUCAUUUUGGAUGAGGCAAUAUACUAAUUCACUAAGUCAACUCAACU